rnacentral:rRNA from 1 species
UACGGAGGGUGCAAGCGUUAUCCGGAUUCACUGGGUUUAAAGGGUGCGUAGGUGGGCAGGUAAGUCAGUGGUGAAAUCUCCGGGCUUAACCCGGAAACUGCCAUUGAUACUAUCUGUCUUGAAUACCGUGGAGGUGAGCGGAAUAUGUCAUGUAGCGGUGAAAUGCUUAGAUAUGACAUAGAACACCAAUUGCGAAGGCAGCUCACUACACGAAUAUUGACACUGAGGCACGAAAGCGUGGGGAUCAAACAGGAAU